GCAAUGGAUCUUAGUGGCGAACGGGUGAGUAACGCGUAGGCAAUCUGCCUUCUAGAUGGGGACAACAUCCCGAAAGGGGUGCUAAUACCGAAUGUUGUAAUUGGUUCGCAUGGACUAGCUACUAAAGGUGGCCUCUGAAUAUGCUACCGCUAGAAGAUGAGCCUGCGUCUGAUUAGCUAGUUGGAGGGGUAACGGCCCACCAAGGCUUCGAUCAGUAGCCGGUCUGAGAGGAUGAACGGCCACACUGGGACUGAGACACGGCCCAGACUCCUACGGGAGGCAGCAGUGGGGAAUCUUCCGCAAUGGACGAAAGUCUGACGGAGCAACGCCGCGUGAGUGAAGAAGGUUUUCGGA
rnacentral:rRNA from 1 species